AUGAAGAUGAGAACCAAUUUUUCUCAAUACUACUUAGCAACGUGUGCCGUUGACUCUGGAGAACAAAACUUAAUCCCACCACCUCUAUGCUUCUGCGCAUAUCACCAAGGCAUCACCCUAACUCGUUUCGAACAACAACUCCCAACACCAACAACUGGUUCUGCGCAUAUCACCAAGCGCAAAAGUGAGACCGCUGCAGAUGGCGAGGAGUCUACUGCGACAAACCAAAUGGCCAUGUUACUCGACUUCGUCUUGGAGACCAAUAUUUGGGAGGUACGGUUACUCCUAAACUCAUUCAGUUGCAGCAUUUGGAAUUUUUGCAUCUCCAAUUCGAUAUAUGGGAGCCAAAUUCCAAAGUUCAUUGGUUCCUUUACCAACUUAAGCGUACCUUCAUCUUUUUGGAUUUUAUGGCAAAUUGCUAUAUGGCCCAUAUCAGCUAAGAAACCUUACACACUUACAAUAUGUGAUAACUACCUUGAUGUACAAGAAAAUAACCUCAAUUGGCUUCCGUAUCUUUCUACUUUAAAAUACUUGGAUCUGAGUUCGAACAAUCUCGAUAACGUAAUUGAUUGGCUGGAAACGGCCGGUAAACAAGCUCCCCAAUCUAAGAAAUCCACUUUUUCUCACAUAAUUUCUUCCAAAUCUCUUGCUAGAGUUGACCUGUUUUACAACCCGGAUGUCAGUGCCACUACUUGCUCAAUGAGAUGGAAGUUUCUCAUGAAGUUUCCACGAAAUUUAAUGAGAUGGAAGUUUCCACGAAAUUUCAGUCUCUUAGUAAUCGAUAUUUCCUCAAUAGUUUGGUCAUUGACUGAGACUUACUUGGAGCUCUUGAAGAAGCCCCAAUGGACCGAGGGCAUCACCUCCCAAGCAUUCGACGGAAUCCGAAUCAGAAUCAUCGGCCACCGCGGUCGGCGAUCUGGUCAACUCGCGCUCCGAAGCGGCCUGAGGGUGGUCGGCGACGAGUUCUCGUUCCUCCGAGUCCGCGGCCUCCGCUCGCUCCUUAAGUUCCUCCGAUCCGUCGUCGAGUCCGACUCCACCAUCAACCUCUUCUCCCCGACCCAAUCCAUAUUUUCGCACUUGGAAUUUCAUAUUUUAUUAAUCUGUGAUUUCUGACGGAUGUGUGCUUGGAUGCUUUGACUGCGAUUAUGUUGGAUUCAUCGGCUAAUCAAAUGGACUUUGAGGCACUUAAUGGUAUCGAGGAAGUUGCAGAGCUUAUAAGAGACAAGCAAGUUGAUGAGAAUCUCAGGUUAGUUACUCGUUAUAUGUUAAUGGAUCUUUUUUUUUUUUUUUCAUAUGCUAACUUCCAUUAUAUAAUAUCUAGCAUUUAAUGUUAAGAUGAUAGUUCCACUGAAUUGAGUUACGAUUUGAGGCUUUAUCCACGUAUAAUGGUUUUGGGAGGCCAAAUUCUUUAAAAACGAUAUUUCUUUCCUGAUAGUUACUGGAAAAAAUGUGAGUUUUUUCAACAAUAGCUUUAUGGUAACAACAUGAUUUCUGUGUGCGCUCCUUUCUUCUUCAUAAUCCCUGCAUAUCUAUCAUCAGUACAGAUGUUUGUUGGCAAUUUGAUGUUGAGAGGUUAUUGUCACCGUCCUUGGUCAUCAUGUGAAGCUUUUAUCUGCUAAUUGUUGGUUAUGAAGGGUGAAUUCUUUGAGUUGAAAAUAUUGCUCGAUAGAUAUUUUUUUUCCCCACUAUAGCUUUAUGGUAGCCAUAUGUUUUCUGUGUGUUCUACUUGGUUCUUCCUAAUCCCUAUGCAACUGUUGUUGGUACUGCUAUUUUUUGGCUUGUAAACUAAUCAAAUCGGAAAUCAUUUGAUCAUAAAACCAACAAUCGAGUAAAUUCACCGUUUAUUCAUUAAUUGGCUAAUUAAACAAUUUCUAAGAUUGAUUUCUCUACAAAUGAUUUUAGAUAAUAUAAUAAUUAGUAUGACUGAUUUUGAUCAUCAUAUUACAUUGUAUUAUGAACAUGACGGAGUUUGGACGGAUGUGUCCAAGCUCAAUUUGACAAGAUAAUGAAAUUUUCUUUUUGACAUUGAUAUUUUGUGACGUUAAAUUUUGUCUUUUGUAAUUUUAUCUCGUUAGCACUCAUUCAAAAUUCCAAGUACUUCAAACAAUAAAUCCAUCAUGUUCUUGCUAGUUUGGACUAACAAAACCUAAAUAGAUUAGAGGACUUAUCAAUAUUUAUUGCGCUAUGGUCAUAUAUAGAAAUAAAAGCUGAUGAGACAUAUACAGAUCAGAUGGGGAGGAAAGCUAAUAUAGUUACCCAAAAGAAAAAAGCUAUAGUUACCCAAAAGAAAAGAGCUAGAGUAAAGAAACUACUAUAAUGAUGGUGAGGCUGCAUAUGUGGUUGCCAUAUGCAUUAUUACUCCAAAACAUAAGUUUGAACUACUUCAUGAUUGUCGUCCGCAACUAUGAACUACUCUUCCAUUCAAGGGAAGCAUGCAUCUACUUCUCUCGAAAGCUGUAGGACCUAAACAUACACAAAAUCAUAAUCACGAUAAGUACCACAAAAGAAAGCUACUACUUUGUAUUUGUGAGAGUGUGUGUGUGUGUGAGAGAGAGAGAGUGUGUGUGUGUGUGAGUGAGAGAGAGAGCUAAGUACCAUAAAAGAAAGCUACUACUUUGUAUUUGUGAGAGUGUGUGUGUGUGUGUGAGUGAGUGAGAGAGAGAGAGAGAGAGAGAGAGAGAGAGAGAGAGAGAGAGAUUACCACUUAGUUAUGAUGAAAUAAACUAGUCAAUCAAUUCUCUAGCCUCUUGAUCAAAGUUAUCCUCACAUAAAGCCGGUCGUUUAGAAGAUUUAAGAACUUAUAGUAUGCAUAUCUCCAUGACUGUCAAAAACCAAACUGCCACAAACUCUUAAGAAUACAUCAAAAAAUCCAAGACCUACACUGAUGUAAAAUCCUUGUGUGAUGAGCCCAAUGUCGUUCUUGAUCCCAAAGUUCUUGUGGACUGUUUUCCGAAUCUAGAAAACUUGACUUCUCAAGUGAAAUCCACAAAGGUGAGGAUUUCCCAAAAAGUAGAAGGCAUUGUAGUUUUGGAGCUGAGAACCCUUUGGAAUAUUUCCGGAAAUGUUGUUGUGUGACAAGUCCAAAUAACCAAGACCAUAUAUUUGAAAUCCACUUGUUGGAAUUGUGCCAUGUUAUAGGUUUCUUGAUAAAUCAAGGGAAUUUAAUGAUUGCAGCAUUCCAUUCUCUCGAGUUAUUUGACUUGUUAAAUGGUUUCUCGACAAGUUAAGAGAAACUGACUCAAAAAGACAAGUGAUUUCAUUGGGAAUAUCCCCUGUCAACUUGUUGCUCGAGAGAUCGAAACUCUACAAGUCCCAAUUUACUUUUGUUCUUGGACAAUUUUCCUUUCCAUGUGAUGGUUAUUUCAUCUUCAUAUAACUUCUCCCAUAAUGAAACACGUGUUCAAUCUCCUUACCUUUAUUGACAAGACUAGGUCCAUUAUUCAUUCUGUAUAUGUGAUUAAUGGUUGGAUUAAUUGAAUUUUCGCUAUGAGCCAUAGCAAUCAAAUUGUUGAUACAUUUGUGUAUACUUCUAGAGAUGUCAUUGAUUGACAAAUCUAAAAUUUGAAUGCUUGUGAGAUGACAUAUAUAAUCGUGAAGGAAUGCUACCAUUGAAGAUACUGGAUUGAAGGAUAAGUAUAACCGAAUUUGCAAAUCGAACCCUUAACCACUUAGGUAUAGGUCUUGAAAAUUUAUUGUUUUAAAGACCUAAAACUUUUAAAUUUGUGCAAUUCUUCAGGGAAUAAAAUUUUCCCACAAAUUUGUUGUUAUCUAGUUUCAAUGACUCAACAGAAACUAAGUUUCCCAUUGUGUUAGAACUCUUCCUGAAAUUGCAUUGUUACUCAAAUCAAGAAAGAUUAGAUUUUCUAAUAAAUGUGUCUAACUAUUUGGAAUUUCCCCCGAUAGAUUAUUACUUUAGAGAUCAAGAAAGGUUAAAUUGCUAACCGCAGCACACAAGAAUGAAGCUGACCAUAAAAAUUUAUUAUUAGAGAUAUCCGCAAAUAAAAAAAUCAUUGACAAGACGAUUGGACCUUCCAAUAGAUUCCGACUCAAAUUAAGUCUAGAAUUAUAUACAAACUCGAAUCUCAAAUUUUCCAAUGUUUCUCUAAUUAGUUUGUAUAUAAUUCUGGAUUUAAUUUGAGUAGGAAUCUAUUGGAAGGUCUAAUUGUCUGGUCAAUGAUUUUUUUAUUUGCGGAUAUCCCUAAUAAUAAAUUUUCAGGGUCAGCUUCAUUCUUAUGUGCUGUGGUUAGUAAUUUAACAUUUCUUGAUCUCUAAAGCAAUAAUCUAUCGGGGGAACUUCCAAAUAGUUAGACACAUUUAUUAGAAAAUCUAAUCUUUCUUGAUUUGAGUAACAAUGCAAUUUCAGGAAGAGUUCUAACCACAAUGGGAAACUUAGUUUAUGUUGAGUCAUUGAAACUAGAUAACAACAAAUUUGUGGGAAAAUUUUAUUCUCUGAAGAAUUGCACAAAUUUAAAAGCUUUAGGUCUUGAAAACAAUAAAUUUUCAGGACCUAUACCUAAGUGGUUAAGGGUUCGAUUUGCAAAUUCGGUUAUACUUAUCCUUCAAUCCAAUAUCUUCAAUGGUAGCAUUCCUUCUCGAUUAUGUCAUCUUACAAGCAUUCAAAUUUUAGAUUUGUCAAUCAAUGACAUCUCUAGAAGUAUACACAAAUGUAUCAACAAUUUGAUUGCUAUAGCUCAUAGCGAAAAUCCAAUUGAUCCAACCAUUAAUCACAUAUACAGAAUGAAUAAUGGACCUAGUCUUGUCAAUAAAGGUAAGGAGAUUGAACACGUGUUUCAUUAUGGGAGAAGUUAUAUGAAGAUGAAAUAACCAUCACAUGGAAAAGAAAAUUGUUCAAGGACAAAAGUAAAUUGGGACUUGUAGAGUGUCGAUCUCUCGAGCAACAAGUUGAUAGGGGAUAUUCCCAAUGAAAUCACUUGUCUUUUUGGGUCAGUUUCUCUUAACUUGUCGAGAAACCAUUUAACUGGUCAAAUAACUCGAGAGAAUGGAAUGCUGCAGUCAUUAAAUUCCCUUGAUUUAUCAAGAAACCUAUUACAUGGCACAAUUCCAACAAGUGGAUUUCAAAUAUAUGGUCUUGGUUAUUUGGGCUUGUCACAUAACAACCUUUUUGAAAAGAUUUCCAUGAUUUAUCAAGAAACCUAUACAUGGCGCAAUUCCAACAAGCAUUUUUCAAAUAUCUGGUCUUGGUUAUUUGGACUUGUGUUAGAAAUCCUCAACUUUAUGGACUUCCACUUGAGAGGUCCUGUUCUCUAGAUUCGGAACACAAUCCAGAACAAGUUGAGUACUCUUGGAAUCAAGAAAAUGACGAUGGGCUUAUUACACAAGGAUUAAUUUUACAUCAGUGUAGGGCUUGGAUUCUUGGGAGUUUGUGGCAGUUUGAUUUUCAACAAGUCAUGGAGAUACACAUACUACAAAUUCUUUAAUCUUCUGAACAACCGGCUUUAUGUAAGGAUAACUUUGAUCAUGAGGCAACUAAAGAAUAGACUAGCUUAGUUCAUCAUAACUAAGCGGUAAUCUCUCUCUCUCUCUCUCUCUCUCUCUCUUUCUUUCUCACACACACACAUACAAUACGAAGUAGUAGCUUUGUUUUAUGGUACUUAUCGCAAUUAUGAUUUUGUGUAUGUUUAGGUUGAUCCUGUAGCUUCCACGAGAAGUAGAUGCAUACUUCGCUUGACUUGAAGUGUUCAUAGUUGCAGACGAUGAUAAUGAAGCAAUACAAGCUUAUGUUUUGGAGUAAUAAUGCAUAUGGCAACCAUAUAUGCUGCUUCAGCAUCAUUGUAGUAGUUUCUUUACUCUAGCUUUUGCCUUUUUGGCAACUAUAUUAGCUUUCCUCCCAAUUUGAUCUGUCUAUGUUUCUUGAGCUGGGGUUUGAGUGCACUGGGUUAACUAGGGCUACGUUUGGGGGGGGGCUUUUUUGCUCCCCCGCUUAUAACUUUAUAAGCACCUCAACCAUUUCCGUUUGGUAAACUAGCUUCUGGCCGACUUUUUCCAGAAGCCACCGCUUCUUUGGUCGAAAAGCCAAAGCCGCCAACCCCUUGCUUUUAGAAGAAGGCAACGGCUUUUCUUGCUGUAGCGGUAUAUACUGUAGUUUAAUGAAAUUUUUGAAAUACCGGGAUGUAUCCUCUAUUCCUUUCAGCAAUUACACAAUGCCAUGAAACCCUUCUCUUCCGUGUUCAAAGUCGAAGUGAGAGAGCUGCACCGCAGUGAACACAAACGCACAAGCCAUCUUGCUGACUGCCUUCACCUCGCCUCUCAUCCGUGUUCGAAAUCGAAGCCUCAAUCCUUGAUUGCCGGCUGCUUGGAAAUUUGAUUCACGGUUAGUUUAUAUCUAUAUCAGUUUCAAUUUAUUUGAAAAAGAGGUAUUAUAGGUUGAUUUGGGUUUCAAUUUCAGUUUCAAGUUCAAGUUCAAUUUCAGUUUCAAGUUCAGUUUUGUAUCUAUUAUAGGUUGAUUUCAGUUUCAAUUCGUGUAAUUGGGUAUUGAAUUAAUGAGUUUCUAGGUUGAUUUGGGACAAUCAGGUAAAGCUUAUUCAUCUAUGGAGUCAUUGCUCGGUCUUUGAUUUGGGACAAUCCGAGUGUUUUGUAGUAGGGGAGGAGAUUUAGAGGUGUGCUCAGAGGUAGUUCUAGGCUCUAAGAAGAGCAAUGAAGGUGGGAUAGAUGACAGACACCUUAGGAAGAAUGUAAUGGGGAGAAUUGAGCUAGAGGAUUUUGAUUCUAAUGGCUUCGUUGCAAUAGGUAGAUGGGAAUGAUAUCGUUGAGAGAAGAUAAGUCGAUUUUUUUGUUAUGUAGUGUUCUUGGCUAGUUUGUUUUUAAAUGAUGGUGCAGGUUAGCAAUGAUGAUACCAGGGGUUCAUUGCUUUACUUUCUUAAUUCACGUUUUUGGACUCUAGUUUUGUGUAUCAUCAAUUUGAGCAUUUUUCUGGUUUAGUAUGUCAACUUGUGCACAAAUUAGGUUGGAUCACUAUGGUAGGAAAACAUUCAUUUUUAGGCCUAAUUGAAUUGCUGGUGCUGCAAGUUUAUGUUCUUUUUGUUUGUUUUCGUCUCGGUAUAUUCAUCAGUAGGUGGCACUUUUAGUCAUAAUUCUCGUGAGCCUAAGUACAAGAUUGAAUUCCAUUAUGAUGACUCACCUUUUCCUCCUACCAAAGGGGGCUAUGGUUGUGAUACCAUCUUCUAAUAUAAAGUCAUUUGAUUGUAAGCACGAACCUUCCCUUUGAGUAAUUUGUUUUCGUAUAGGGAGCAUAGAGUGUGCUAUCUAGACCAAGAGUGUGUGGGUAAGAUUGUAUCAGUUGGUAGAUUAAAACUCUCCCACGAAUUGAUUGAAUUCUGGUUAGCCAGAACAAAUGGCUGGUAAGUUCUUUCUGGUAUCUUGUUAAACCAAAUGACCAUUACCAAUCAUUUGGAAACCAAAAGCAAAUUCCCCAGAUUGUGAGGCCCAAAAGGAGUUAUUCUCCUGUGCAAUGAGAGAUGAACCCGAAGAUAUAUUUUUGUAAGUUUGAGCCAUAGUGGAAAAUGAUAGUAGUUGUAGAAGGAUUAGUAAAAAGCAUACAGAAUAUGAUAGUGCAAAAGCCAUGGCGUGAAGAAUACUAUUUCUCUAGUGUUUAGAGUAGUUAACUAUGAAUCAAGUUAUCAAAAUAUAAAGAUCAAUCCCUUGCAUUUAUAUAAGACCUGCUCUAUUUACUGUCCAAAUUUUCUAAGUCAUCCACAGUCCAUUGGAAUUGUCGACAAUUGUUCUUCAUCUUUGGUCUUUCAACUUUAGAUCUUUGAUUUCAUUUUAUGUUGGUGAUUUUGUUGAAUCAUAUGGUGUUGAGUCAUUUUAUGUUGUUGAAUUCGGUGUUGAUAAAGAAGAUUCUCGAGUGUAUCUUCUGAGAAUCUUCAGCUGCAGCAAAUCUCUCUAGUUCCCCUGUUUAUGUUUCAUGGAAUAUGAAUUCAAAUUCAUCAUAAUUCUAUUUACUAAGAGAAUUUAUGCUGUUUUUGGGUUUCAUCAUGUGUGAGUUUGGUGUCAUAGCUCUUCACAAUUGAACUACAGAACUUUGGAAUUCUAUUCCUUCUGUUGGUAUAGCUCUUGCAGGUCUUGGUGAUUUACUUGAAUAGUGAAGAUGGUGGGAAGCAUUGAGGCUGCAAAUGGAUUGGGAAUUAUGCGCACCCUGUUCAGAAUUUCAAUGAUUUGGGACUGCAUUGGCGAAAAUUUAAUAAGCACGAUGCUCUUGAAGUUUAUGUUUAAUAGAACAAUAUAUACAUGAGUUGGUUAUUGUUAGCUUAUGCUUCAUAUGAUAGGUAUAAUGUGUAUAUAUGAGUUGGUGCAUUAUCCAGUUGCUUGUUUUGUGGGCUCAUAUACACUAAGGAGCAAGAACUGACAGAUUUAUAUUAUCUUUGACAGGUUAGGUUUAAUGGUUGUGGGAGGCCUAAUCUUGGCAUCUUUCAUGACAUAUGCGUCGGAGCACCUUGCAACUAGAUCAUUCUUGAGAUUCCUUGAAGACCGAGAUGCUACGAGAAGUAGGAGCUUUUGUUAGAUAUAGUUCACUGGUGACAAAACUGAGCAUGUAAAACUAUUGUCCAAAAGACCAAGUAUGUCCUGUAAGCAGUGUUUGAUGCUUCUGUUGUAAUCUGUUUCACAUGGAACGCCUGGAUGAAUUUGUAAAUUAUUGCCAGAAAAUCUGUUGAUAAGUGGUUUUUCUCGAGGAAAUUUUGUUGUAACAUUGUUACGGAAACUAUUAAUGAUACUGUUAACAUUCUUUCGCACAA